rnacentral:misc_RNA from 1 species
GCUCUUCAACACCAACCGCCAGACCCUCGGCACCAGCUUCCAAGUCAAAAUCAAGAUCAGCAACUCCAACUCGCCAAAUGUCAACUCCUUCAAGUGCAGCUACUGUGGCUGCUCCUCCCAGUACGCGUUCUUCUUCAGUAUCAAAGUCUGUUCCCACAACAUUGAAAAAUCCAGUGCCAUCACGUGGCAGUUCUCCUACUGUAAGGUCUAGGCCUUGGAAACCUGAUGAGAUGCCUGGUUUCUCUCAUGAUGCUCC